ACAAUGAACCAAAGGCACACACCGAAAUCCUUGGAAGGAUAUCUCUUUCGAGCUUCCAACCUCUUCUUGGUUUACCUAUUGGCUAUUGCUUUGUGGGGGAUGGUAAGGAUACAUAUUUUUUGAAGGACCAGCAGUUUACGCAGGAAAUGUGGAGCUCUUUCCUGUAGGAGUUCAGUGUUAACUUUGCUCCAUAAGAGCGUUAGGGCGACGAUCAAGGAGUUCCUCCUCCAUCCGUCCCUCAGAGGCAAAGGGGUCUUUUAUGGCUUGAUUGGUGUGUGAUGUUACUCAGUUGGUCCACUUCUUUUAGUUGGGGUGUUUUGGUGGGCUGGUUUCUUUGUAUGCCCCUGUAUUCUUUCAUUUUAUUCUCUAUGCAAGUUCUUUCUAUAAAAGAAAAAUCAACGUCAACCUCAACAAUAAAUGAUGUAAAGUCGCCACUACCAUAAAAGGUGAACGUUGUUACUUACCAGACUGAACUGGCCUAGGAAAAAUGGGCCAUCUCCAUAUUUAGAAAGAGCAGACUCGAUGUAGUCAAACGUAGCAUCUGCAAAAAGAUAAAGACAUCAUUCAACGUUUUCCUGUUAAAAACAACAUGGAAGAGGAAGAAGCUGCCAAUAUCUUACCAGCUUCAUUUCCAUCUCCUUUAAAUGAAGAAACCACAGAUCCAGUGAAAGAAUUCACGUAGUUUAUCAACUCUUCAGCAAACUCUCUCUUUUCUGGCUCCUGUAUAUUCAGAUUUAGGACGCUUCAAUGCUAAUGGACAUUUAAUUCAAGCUGAUGAGGCAUCAAACAAAAAAGUUAUUCGGGAUACUUACAUCAGGAAAUAAUGAAGGCCCUUCAAAAUUGCUGUCAAUAUAUUUAAUUAAGUCAAGACUCUCUCCUUUGACUUCAUUAUUAUGUUCAAGAGCUGGAACCUGCCCAAGUCAAAAACAUCAAAGAGGAAAUAGAUAGCAGCUCAAUUGUAUUUAACAAUGGACCUAGGUCCGCUUAGUGACCAUUUUUCUUGUCUUUUCUUUUCUGUUUUUUCACCUGAUGUUUUUGUCACUCACUUCUAGCUCAGUUUUUUUCUAAAAUUGAAAACUCUCACUAGAGUAAGAGGAGCAAAGAAGAAUGGAGGGAGGGAGAGAGACGCAAUUGCCUCUUAAGUUUGUUUUAGAUGCAAGAAUGAAUUCUUGUAAACGAAUUAUGGUUUAGAAGUUCUUUCUAAUUUCCCCUUAAGUAUAUAAGUAUAUAAGUUUGAAUGUAAAAAUUUGCCCCUUCAUGAAAAGGUCGAACUCCCCCAUUACCACCA